rnacentral:hammerhead_ribozyme from 1 species
AUCCAGCUGACGAGUCCCAAUUAGGACGAAAUGGAAAUGGGCAUCCUGGAU